rnacentral:rRNA from 1 species
GACGAACGCUGGCGGCGUGCUUAACACAUGCAAGUCGAACGGAAAGGCUCCAGCUUGCUGGCGUACUCGAGUGGCGAACGGGUGAGUAACACGUGGGUAAUCUGCCCUGCACUCUGGGAUAAGCCUGGGAAACUGGGUCUAAUACUGGAUAUGACCUUUCUCCUUAUGGGGUUUGGUGGAAAGUUUUUCGGUGUAGGAUGAGCCCGCGGCCUAUCAGCUUGUUGGUGGGGUGAUGGCCUACCAAGGCGACGACGGGUAGCCGGCCUGAGAGGGUGAUCGGACACAUUGGGACUGAGAUACGGCCCAGACUCCUACGGGAGGCAGCAGUGGGGAAUAUUGCACAAUGGGCGGAAGCCUGAUGCAGCGACGCCGCGUGAGGGAUGACGGCCUUCGGGUUGUAAACCUCUUUCAGCAGGGACGAAGCGUAAGUGACGGUACCUGCAGAAGAAGCACCGGCUAACUAUGUG